GGGCACCGUGGCCGGGGGGGAGGAACCUCUGCAGCAAAGGCCAGAGCUCUGCGGGUCUCUGACAGGCCUCGGAAACCGCCUGAAAACUCCUUAUGGCAGAGGCUCGGUGCCGGGGGUCCAGGAGGGGUGGCAGCGGCGUGAGGGCGUUGUGUCCCCUCGCGGUCCUGGGUGGUUCCCGAGAAAAGCCCAGGCCCUCGAGGUUCCGGGCUGGCGCGUUUUGCCCAUGACAUAAACGCAUCCCGGUGUAGGCGAGGGCCGAGCAGGCGGGUGGGCUCCGGGGGUUGCGUGGGGCUGUGCCGAGCUGGGCUCUGCCCGUCCCCGCGGGGGGGUCUGAAGCGCUGCCUCCAGCCCUGCUCCCUGCUGCAGGAUCCACGUGUACACUCACCGGCGCAUGGCCAUCGCGGCCGAGGACGUCUGCCUGGAGAGGGUUAUCCCCAUCACAGAAGGGUUCGCCGUGGAAGAAGUUGUACUUGACAGUGACCUUCGUGUCAUCGGCUCUGACGUGACUAUCCAGAUAACUUCAACGGGCGAUCGGCUCACGGUGCGGCUGCCUUUUGGCUCCCACACGCGCACGUUCCUGCAGGAGGUCAGCAGGUGCAGGGCAGAAGCGGUUGGCUCUGAAGGCAUCAGACAGAAUGGAAAAAAGCUCCCAGCCAGUCAGCACCGGGGCCACGACAGCACCGAUAAAAGUGCUCCCAGGCAAACCAAACUCAAACCUGAAGUGACAACUGAAAUGGUGCGGUCCUCCAGCGUCAUGGUUUCAAACAAGGCUUCAAUCUUAUCAGAACCCAAGUUUGGACUAAGAGAUACUAUUGUUAAAUCUCAGCUUGUACAAAUGGAGGAUUCCUACACACACAUUCAGAGCUUCAGAUUUUUCGUUGGGACGUACAAUGUGAACGGUCAGUCGCCCAGGGAAAGCCUCCAGCCCUGGCUCAGAUGUGACGCUGAGCCUCCGGACAUUUACUGCGUGGGUUUCCAGGAGCUUGAUCUGAGUAAAGAAGCCUUCUUUUUCAACGACACGCCCAAGGAAGAGGAAUGGUUUAAAGCUGUAACUGAUAGUCUGCACCCAGAUGCCAAAUAUGCAAAGGUGAAACUUGUGCGGCUCGUGGGAAUCAUGCUUCUGUUGUAUGUGAGAGCAGAGCUUGCUUUGAACAUCUCCGAGGUGGAAAUUGAGACUGUGGGAACUGGAAUCAUGGGCAGGAUGGGUAACAAAGGAGGUGUUGCCAUAAGGUUUAAAUUCCAUAACACGAGCGUGUGCGUUGUGAAUUCUCACCUUGCAGCUCACAUGGAGGAAUAUGAGCGGAGGAACCAGGACUUCAAAGACAUCUGCUCUCGGAUGCAGUUCUGCCAGGCGGAUCCAAAUUUGCCCCCUCUCACUAUCAGCAAACACGAUGUGAUCUUAUGGCUGGGUGACCUCAACUAUCGGCUGGAGGAACUGGACGUGGCGAAAGUGAAGCAGCUUGUCGAUGAGAAAGCGUUCGUAGAGCUUUGCCAGUAUGACCAGCUGAAGAGGCAAAUGAAUGCAAAUGCAGCCUUUGAAGGCUUUACAGAGGGAGAGAUUUCUUUCCAGCCAACGUACAAAUAUGAUGCUGGCUGUGAUGACUGGGACACAAGUGAGAAGUGUCGUGUUCCAGCGUGGUGCGAUCGGAUACUCUGGAAAGGGCAGAACGUUGCUCAGCUGAGCUACCGCAGCCAUAUGGCUCUGAAGAUCAGUGACCAUAAGCCGGUCAGCUCCGUGUUUGAUAUUGGGGUGAAGGUUGUGAACGAGGAGCUCUAUCGAAAAGCCUUUGAGGAAAUAGUCCGCUCCCUGGAUAAGCUGGAGAACGCCAACAUUCCCUCGGUGACCCUCUCCCAGAGAGAGUUCCAUUUUGAGGAUGUUAAGUACAUGCAGCUGCAGGUAGAGAAGUUUACAAUCUGCAAUGGACCGGUGCCCUGCCAGUUCGAGUUUAUCAGCAAACCAGAUGAGGAAACCUACUGCAAGGAGUGGCUGAUCGCUAACCCCAGUAAGGGCUUUCUGCUUCCAGAUGCUGAAAUCACAGUUGAGUUGGAGGUGUUUGUUAAUAAAUCAACAGCUACACACUUAAACUCUGGAGAGGAAAAACUUGAAGACAUCUUGGUCUUGCAUCUGAACAGGGGGAAGGAUUAUUUUCUGUCUGUAACAGGCAACUACUUGCCAAGUUGCUUUGGGUCUCCCAUUCAUACGCUGUGUUACAUGAGGGAACCGAUCCAGGACAUGUCAGCAGAAUCCAUUCGGAAACUUACCCUGAUGCCACUAGAAAUGAGUGAUGACGAUGUUGGAGCUGAAAAGCCCAUGGACAUUCCGAAAGAGUUGUGGAUGAUGGUGGAUCACCUGUACCGCAAUGCUUCCCAGCAGGAGGACCUCUUUCAGCAGCCAGGCCUCAGAUCUGAAUUUGAGCAAAUCCGAGAUUGUUUGGACAAAGGAAUGCAUGAUACCCUCCGUAUCCUUCUAGACUGGUGUCUGAAAAAUGCCCAAAAUAGAUCAGGCUGUGCUUGCCCCUUCCUUAACCUUUGGACCAGUUGGCAGCAACCACUCGGUCGCAGAAGCGCUGCUGCUCUUCCUGGAGAGCCUGCCCGAGCCCGUCGUCUGCUACAGGGUCUACAGCAGCUGCUUGGAGAGUGCCAGCAACUACCCGCUGAGCAGCCAGAUUAUCUCUAACCUGCCAGCGUGCCAUAAAAAUGUGUUUGAAUAUCUAAUGGCGUUUCUGCGAGAACUACUGAAAAAUUCAGGGAAAAACCAUUUGGAUGUGAAUAUUCUUGCUAGUACAUUUGGUGGCUUGUUACUUCGACCUCCUCCUGGACAUCCUACACCUGAUAUAGCUGAAAAGAGGAAAGCUCAGCAAUUUAUCCACCAGUUCCUCUUGAGAGAAGACAACUUGCGAUGAAUUUCAGAUGCAGCUAAUCUUAUUUUUAGAUAUCAAAUUACUGUAAAAAUAUUUUUUUGUAUAGUGGCUUUUAAAAAAUAUCACAGUAUUUUAUACAAUCUAUUGCUUUUGAAGGCACAGCAGGCAGUUUGAAUCAAGUGUCACUGUUUUAAGCUGUAAAGUGUAUCAGAUUUCUAAAUAAGCUGUAUGUAGACAAGCAAAAAUAUAAAAGCUGGUAUUUACACUGUAUUUUAUUUAACUUGUAUUUAAACUCAGAAUUUUUAAGUCCUUGUUAUUUAAAUAAAAAGAUCUCAGUGCAUUUUUCCA